rnacentral:misc_RNA from 1 species
CACAAAUGCAACAGCUCUAAAGAUUAUCCAAAAACUCAGUUUCAUUAUAACAAUUACUCGAAGUGCCCCAACUUCAAAAUCUACUACGCUCGCAAGCAUAAUGCAAAUUUAUUACAGAGUCCUCCGCUUAAGUGUCCAAUUGUGAAUCUCCCAUUAAACAAAAACAAUAGUCAUGACGACAUAUUCCAAAUUUUAACGGCUAAUUUUUCUCUUCGUGUGCGCAUGCGGCCUGAUUGUUACGAGUGUCAAUUACACAGGGGCAAAUGUAGAAACAACAAUGGAGGCUUCAAUUGUACUGGUGCGAAUGAAUACAGAAAUAUACCAUUUCCUGCUCUUCCUACAUCUUUAGAAGGACACAAAGGACUGAGAAUGAAGCUAGGCCUAGCUCUCUAAGCUGGCGGAAUUGCAAUUCUAAUGAUAGUCUGUUGCUUCAGUAUAAAAUUGUCAUCCAAUUACUCCAUUUUCUGUUGGAACAAGAGCACACAGGACCAUCAAAGUAUUGAGGCCUUUCUUGGGAACCAUGGAUUGAUGGCACCAAAACGUUACAAAUAUACAGAAGUUAAGAAA